UGGGGAAUUUUGCGCAAUGGGGGAAACCCUGACGCAGCAACGCCGCGUGGAGGAUGAAGUCCUUCGGGACGUAAACUCCUUUCGAUCGGGACGAUUAUGACGGUACCGGAAGAAGAAGCCCCGGCUAACUUCGUGCCAGCAGCCGCGGUAAUACGAGGGGGGCGAGCGUUGUUCGGAAUUAUUGGGCGUAAAGGGUGCGUAGGCGGUUUGGUAAGUCUGAUGUGAAAUCUAUGGGCUCAACUCAUAGUCUGCAUCGGAAACUGCCGGGCUUGAGUGUGGGAGAGGUGAGUGGAAUUCCUGGUGUAGCGGUGAAAUGCGUAGAUAUCAGGAGGAACACCUGUGGCGAAAGCGGCUCACUGGACCAUAACUGACGCUGAUGCACGAAAGCUAGGGGAGCAAACAG
rnacentral:rRNA from 1 species